GACGAACGCUGGCGGCGUGCCUAAUACAUGCAAGUCGAGCGCAGGAAGCUGACGGAACUCUUCGGAGGGAAGGCAGUGGAAUGAGCGGCGGACGGGUGAGUAACACGUAAGGAACCUGCCUCAAGGAUUGGGAUAACUCCGAGAAAUCGGAGCUAAUACCGGUUAGUUCAACGGACCGCAUGGUCCGCUGAGGAAAGGCGCUCCGGCGUCACCUUGAGAUGGCCUUGCGGUGCAUUAGCUAGUUGGUGGGGUAACGGCCCACCAAGGCGACGAUGCAUAGCCGACCUGAGAGGGUGAUCGGCCACACUGGGACCGAGACACGGCCCAGACUCCUACGGGAGGCAGCAGUAGGGAAUCUUCCACAAUGGACGAAAGUCUGAUGGAGCAACGCCGCGUGAGUGAUGAAGGUUUUCGGAUCGUAAAACUCUGUUAUAAGGGAAGAACACGUACGAGAGGGAAUGCUCGUACCUUGACGGUACCUUACGAGAAAGCCACGGCUAACUACGUGCCAGCAGCCGCGGUAAGAC
rnacentral:rRNA from 1 species